GUUGCAGUUAAAAAGCUCGUAGUUGGAUUUCUGGGAGGGUGCCAAUGUCCGUCGUCGUACGUGUUGCAGCGGCGCCCUUCCAUCCUUCUGUUAACGACUUUGGGCAUUCACUUGCCGGAGUCGGGCUCAGAUAUUUUACCUUGAGAAAAUUAGAGUGUUUCAGGCAGGCUAGGCCGGAAUACAUUAGCAUGGAAUAAUGGAAUAGGACUACGGUCUCUUUGUUGGUUUGAGGGACUGCAGUAAUGAUUAAUAGGGCUAGUUGGGGGCAUUAGUAUUUAAUUGUCAGAGGUGGAAUUCUCGGAUUUGUUAAAGACUAACUUAUGCGAAAGCAUUUGCCAAGGAUGUUUUCAUUAAUCAAGAACGAAAGUUAGGGGAUCAAAGACGAUCAGAUACCGUCCUAGCCUUAACCAUAAACUAUGGCCGACUCGGGAUCGGGGGCGCCAACUAUCCGCCUUCGGCACCGUAUGAGAAAUCAAAGUCUUUGGGGUUCUGGGGGGAUA
rnacentral:rRNA from 1 species